AGUGGGAGACUUCCAGCUUCAGAAUCCAGCCCUCAUGGGAGAGUUCAGCUUGGAGGACCAAUUGUAAGAACCUGCUGCCCGCCUUUGGCAUGGGCCUGAGCACAUUAGGACCUUCUCUGCAGCAAAGCUGAGGAUAUGCUGGUCCUGAUGCACACAGGAAAGCAGAGCAAGGGCUGAGUAGCAGUCUUCACCGCAAGGUCUACACAAGAGAACCGAACCAAAUGGGAAUCAGACUUCAGCUGGGCUGAUGGGAAAGCUUGAUUAGAGAAUGUGUCUGGGACUUGAAGCUGAAAUGAGGUUUACUUCUCCUUCAAGGGUGGCCGGGUCCACAGAGUUUGUCAACUUGACCUGGUUCUUCGGCUGCAUUUAUCACCUGGAUAUCAGAAGAGACAGGAAUUCCCGUUCAGUUUUGGUGAGUGGAACCCGGGUCAAGCCACCUGCAGAGCCCAGGGCAAACUUUCCACCCUGCUGACCCUUGAGAGAGGCCAUUUUGAGGGAAUUGCUUUUAAAAUAGGAUUUGUGUAAUGCUGCUGACGCCAGUGUUUUAAAAUUUGUACUUGUGCCCUUUGGCAAAGAGUGCACAGGAUGUCCUUUU
rnacentral:lncRNA from 1 species